GGAAAAUAAAAACAGCAGACCUAUGAAGGUCGAAGGGGAAGAAAAGCUGUAUCGAUUGUUGAGAUCUGGCGACUUGUUUAAAUUUCAUCAGCCUCACUUCUAUGAACUCUCAGUUUUCAAGAUUGUUUUGGCUCUAGCAAAACAAGUUGGAACAUUCACAUCAUCCACUGCACUGAUGAGGAAACUGAAACAGAAAAUCCAGAGUAAAUUCCACCAGGCCACACAGCAAGGUCUGAUAGAGCCAGGAGAGACUUUAUGAAAUCCAGACUCUCACACUAAUGCUCUAUCAGCUAGACCUCCAUGUGAGUCUCCCCAAUGUAGGUAGGAAGUGCUUUCCCUAAAAUGCUCAUAAAGCAAAUCAGAGCAAUGCUGCAUUCCAUGUGAUUUCUAAUUUGAAAUGCAAACAAUUGCCAAUUUGUUUGACUUGUAUUUAUAAUUAUUUCCUUGUGAAUUACUCAUCACUAAAUGCUUUAUAAAUAUUUUCUCUUUUUUUCCUCAAUGUCUAUGGAAUGAUCACAGCAUAGAAAAUGUUGGCUUUCAAGGAUUUAUUAAUAUCUCCUUUUGAAAUAACAUGUAUUUGUAAGACAGAAUAAAAUCACUUUAAAGAAACAAA
rnacentral:lncRNA from 1 species